UACGUAGGGGGCUAGCGUUGUCCGGAAUUAUUGGGCGUAAAGAGCGUGUAGGCGGUUCGAUAAGUCUGCUGUGAAAGUCAGGGGCUCAACCCUUGAAAGCCGGUGGAUACUGUCGGACUAGAGUACGGAAGAGGCGAGUGGAAUUCCUGGUGUAGCGGUGAAAUGCGUAGAUAUUGGGAGGAACACCAGUGGCGAAGGCGGCUCGCUGGACCGGAACUGACGCUGAGGCGCGAAAGCGUGGGGAGCAAACAGG
rnacentral:rRNA from 1 species